rnacentral:rRNA from 1 species
UACGUAGGGCGCAAGCGUUGUCCGGAAUUAUUGGGCGUAAAGAGCUCGUAGGCGGUUUGUCGCGUCCGCUGUGAAAACCUGAGGCUCAACCUCGGGCUUGCAGUGGGUACGGGCAGACUAGAGUGCGGUAGGGGAGACCGGAAUUCCUGGUGUAGCGGUGGAAUGCGCAGAUAUCAGGAGGAACACCGAUGGCGAAGGCAGGUCUCUGGGCCGCAACUGACGCUGAGGAGCGAUAGCAUGGGGAGCAAACAGG